rnacentral:rRNA from 1 species
CGUGAAGUGUUCGGAUUGCGGCGACGUGGGCGGUUCGCUGCCCGCGACGUUGUGAGAAGUCCACUGAACCUUAUCAUUUAGAGGAAGGAGAAGUCGUAACAAGGUUUCCGUAGGUGAACCUGCGGAAGGAUCAUUG